GUCUUCCAGUUGUUGUAGCAGGGGCAGGCGCCCUUGUUGCCGUAGAACCCGGGGGGCACGCAGAGGCAGGUGGCGCAGCACUUGUUGCAGAAGGUGAUGCAGGCCUUGUGGUACUGCGUCUGGGAGCACCGCGACGCGCACUUGGACGAGCACUCCCACGGCUUCAGGUUGCCCCUGCCGUAGCCGUUCCCGUUGCCGCUGCCACCGCCGUUGCCGUUGCCGUUGCCUCUGCCAUUGCCGCCGGCCUCCACCUCCUGCUGGACAAAACAGAAGACAGAGAAUUGAAUGAGCACAUAGCGCACACGGGAAAACGGCUGGAACUUGAAGGCUGAAAGGAUGAGGCCAGUGAGCUUACCACGGGGAAGGCGACGCCGAGGAGCAGAAGCACGAGCAUCAGGAAGGAGACGGCCUUGGCAGCCAUCGCUACUGCCCUGCCCAGCUUCUUCUCGGCACUUUUCCCUGUGCUAGAGAGGGAGAGGUGAAGCUGUUGAAGAAGGGGCGAGAUAUUUGGGGAG
rnacentral:lncRNA from 1 species